GCUCCUACCGAUUGAGUGAUCCGGUGAAUUAUUCAGACUGACGCAGUGCUCAGCUUCUGGACGUUGCGUUGGAAAGUUUCAUGAACCUUAUCACUUAGAGGAAGUAAAAGUCGUAACAAGGUUUCCGUAGGUGAACCUGCAGAAGGAUCAAGUUCGGAAGAGCGUCGUGGAGGUUAAGAGCGUAGAUCAUGGUGGUCCCCGUAUCAUUAAAAAACAAAUCACUCCCAAACAAGCUUAUCCCCCCCGGUCUCCCACCUCCACUUUGCCUUACUUUACC
rnacentral:misc_RNA from 1 species